rnacentral:rRNA from 1 species
AACGAACGCUGGCGGCAGGCUUAACACAUACAAGUCGAGCGCCCCGCAAGGGGAGCGGUAGACGGGUGAGUAACGCGUGGGAAUCUACCCAUCUCUACGGAAUAACGCAUGGAAACGUGUGCUAAUACCGUAUACGUCCUUCGGGAGAAAGAUUUAUCGGAGAUGGAUGAGCCCGCGUUGGAUUAGCUAGUUGGUGGGGUAAAGGCCUACCAAGGCGACGAUCCAUAGCUGGUCUGAGAGGAUGAUCAGCCACACUGGGACUGAGACACGGCCCAGACUCCUACGGGAGGCAGCAGUGGGGAAUAUUGGACAAUGGGCGCAAGCCUGAUCCAGCCAUGCCGCGUGAGUGAUGAAGGCCCUAGGGUUGUAAAGCUCUUUCACCGGUGAAGAUAAUGACGGUAACCGGAGAAGAAGCCCCGGCUAACUUCGUGCCAGCCGCCGCGGUAAAAC